UUGGAAACUUUGGUCUGGAAAAGACCACAUCACAGACAAACUGUUAUCUGAAAGUCACACUGGUGACAAAAAAAGCUUUCAGUACAUAUCUUAGCAAGAUCUUGUAUGUGCUCAAAUAGCCACCUUCUUUUGUGACCACUGGAGUUAAUAGUCUAAUUGUGUGCCUAUGAAAUAUUAUGACAGACUUAAGGCCAAUAGAGCCAGCCCUCAGCAUGGUCUUUCUUGGGAACUACUACCUCUUCAGGAGACAUGUACUACAAGCUAUGGAUCAUAUUUAUCAGCAAGAAUCAGAGAAAAACAACAAACAAAAAACAUGUGUGAGGAUGGAGCGUGAAGAUGCUCAACAAGAAGGGGCAGAAUAUAGAGCUGAGUAGGGUUGGGAAGAUACAUCUGUUUCUUCUCCCUCAUUUGAUAUGAUCCAGUAAAAUCCAAGCUUUAGAGACGCUUGCCUGGAACAUCAGUGAUUACUUGAUUUCUCAGCACAUAAAUCUAACUCCAGUCCUUGUUGGGCAUAUAUUAGUAAUGAGUUCUAAAAAGGUCGGCUAGGAUGGGACCCCAUAAGAAAGCAAUAUUUAAGUCAUCACCUAAAAAGUAACAAGCCUUGAGGAAAGAAUGUUCCAGGUGGAGACAAUAGCAGGAGCCGAGCCCCUGAGGCUGUUUUUUCCUGGUCUUUGAGGAACAUCAGAAGAAAUUCAUCACUUACCUCAUGAGUUGUCAAAGAUGAGUUAUACACAUUCUUUUUCAAAACUGAAGUAAAGGCGUUCCAGUUUUCCUGACCUUUUUUUUGUGAUACCAAAAGGAUGAUGAAACCAUGUUAUGUAACAGUUUGGAAGAAAUUUAUCUGGAGAAAAAUCAAGGAAUGUUGAGAUCGAGCCAAUCAGAGAGGAUGAAAAUGAGGCGCUGAGACCGAUG